AGGCCGUACUUGCACACAGAUGAAGUAUGGUAUAAACUACAGUAGAGCAAAAAGGAAAGAAUGAAAUUCAUCUGCAACCCCAGCACCAAGAGAUAAGUAUAGUUAACUGGGGAAGCUGACUACCAUGUUGCGAUGAUACUCAGCCUGUGGAGAGCCCACAUUGGGAAAACAGAGGCCUCCUAUCGAGGGCCAGCACCAACCUGCCAGCCACAAGAGUGAACCCCCUUCAAAGCAGAUCCUCCAGCUCCAGCCAAGCAUUCAGAGGACUGCAGACCUGGCUGACUUCUUGAUUACCACCUCAAGAGAGACCCCACAUCAGAAACACCCAGCUAAGCCACUCUCAAAUCCCCAACCCACAGAAACUGUGAGGAUAAUACAUGUUUAUUGUUGUUUUAAGCCA